GAAUCUGGCUUCAGGUCUGGGACAACAGUUGGAAACGGCUGCUAAUACCGGAUGUGCCUGUGGGUGAAAGGUUAACUGCCUGAAGAUGAGCUCGCGUCCGAUUAGUUAGUUGGUGUGGUAAGAGCGCACCAAGACGGCGAUCGGUAGCUGGUCUGAGAGGACGAUCAGCCACACUGGAACUGAGACACGGUCCAGACUCCUACGGGAGGCAGCAGUGGGGAAUUUUCCGCAAUGGGCGAAAGCCUGACGGAGCAAUACCGCGUGAGGGAGGAAGGCUCUUGGGUUGUAAACCUCUUUUCUCAGGGAAUAAAAAAAUGAAGGUACUUGAGGAAUAAGCAUCGGCUAACUCCGUGCCAGCAGCCGCGGUAAUACGGAGGAUGCAAGCGUUAUCCGGAAUGAUUGGGCGUAAAGCGUCCGCAGGUGGUUUAUCAAGUCGGCUGUCAAAGCGUCUGGCUCAACUAGAUAAGGGCAGUGGAAACUGAGAGACUAGAGUAAGGUAGGGGUAGAGGGAAUUCCUGGUGUAGCGGUGAAAUGCGUAGAGAUCAGGAAGAACACCGGUGGCGAAAGCGCUCUGCUGGACUAUUACUGACACUGAGGGACGAAAGCUAGGGGAGCGAAUGGGAUUAGAUACCCCAGUAGUCCUAGCCGUAAACGAUGGAUACUAGGCGUUACGCGUAUCGACCCGCGUAGUGCCGGAGCCAACGCGUUAAGUAUCCCGCCUGGGGAGUACGCCGGCAACGGUGAAACUCAAAGGAAUUGACGGGGGCCCGCACAAGCGGUGGAGUAUGUGGUUUAAUUCGAUGCAACGCGAAGAACCUUACCAGGGCUUGACAUGUCGCGAAUCCCGAUGAAAGUUGGGAGUGCCUUAGGGAGCGCGAACACAGGUGGUGCAUGGCUGUCGUCAGCUCGUGUCGUGAGAUGUUGGGUUAAGUCCCGCAACGAGCGCAACCCUCGUACUUAGUUGCCAUCAUUAAGUUGGGAACUCUAAGGAGACUGCCGGUGACAAACCGGAGGAAGGUGGGGAUGACGUCAAGUCAGCAUGCCCCUUACGUCCUGGGCUACACACGUACUACAAUGCUAUGGACAGAGGGCAGCAAGCAUGCGAAUGCAAGCAAAUCUCACAAACCAUGGCUCAGUUCAGAUCGCAG
rnacentral:rRNA from 1 species